rnacentral:ncRNA from 1 species
CAAAAGCUUGGUCCUGGCUUUACUGUCAUGUUUAACCAGAUUUAUACAUGCAAGUUUCCGCACCCCUGUGAGGAUGCCCUCAAACUUUCCCAGCCGAAAACGAGGAGCAGGUAUCAGGCACGCACGCACGCAGCCCAAGACGCCUUGCUCAGCCACACCCCUAAGGGACCUCAGCAGUGAUAGACAUUAAGCAAUGAGUGAAAACUCGACUUAGUUACGGUUUAUACAGGGCCGGUUAAUCUCGUGCCAGCCACCGCGGUUAUACGGGCAGGCCCAAGUUGACAGAAUUCGGCGUAAAGAGUGGUUACGGAUACAAUUUACUAAAGUUAAACACCCCCCUUGCUGUAAUACGCGGCCGGGGGUAGGAGACCCCGCUACGAAAGUUGCUUUAAUAACCCUCCCGACCCCACCACAGCCAGGAAACAAACUGGGAUUAGAUACCCCACUAUGCCUGGCCAUAAACCUCGAUUUUGAUACAUACACACAUUAUCCGCCAGGGUACUACGAGCGCUAGCUUAAAACCCAAAGGACUUGGCGGUGUUUCAGAUCCACCUAGAGGAGCCUGUUCUAGAAUCGAUAGUCCCCGCUUAACCUCACCAUCCCUGGCUUCAAACCCCGCCUGUAUACCGCCGUCGUCAGCUUACCCCUUGAAGGAAUGAUAGUAAGCGAAACAGGUACCCCCUAUUACGGCAGGUCAAGGUGCAGCGCAUGAGAUGGAAAGAAAUGGGCUACAUUCUCUUCUUCACAGAGAACACGGAAGGUCCAAUGAAACUCACACCCUAAGGAGGAUUUAGCAGUAAGAAGAAAGAAAGAAAGUUCUUCUGAAGCCGGCUCUGGAACGCGCACACACCGCCCGUCACUCUCCCCAACUUCCGACCUUCUAAAUACAUAAAACCCCCGUUCCCCGCAGGGGAGGCAAGUCGUAACACGGUAAGUGUACCGGAAGGUGCACUUGGAUGAAU